rnacentral:rRNA from 1 species
CUACGGGAGGCAGCAGUGGGGAAUUUUGGACAAUGGGCGAAAGCCUGAUCCAGCAAUGCCGCGUGUGUGAAGAAGGCCUUCGGGUUGUAAAGCACUUUUGUCCGGAAAGAAAUGGCUCUGGUUAAUACCUGGGGUCGAUGACGGUACCGGAAGAAUAAGGACCGGCUAACUACGUGCCAGCAGCCGCGGUAA